UACAGAGGUCUCAAGCGUUGUUCGGAUUCAUUGGGCGUAAAGGGUGCAUAGGUGGCGCCGUAAGUCAGGUGUGAAAUUUCGGAGCUUAACUCCGAAACUGCAUUUGAUACUGCGGUGCUUGAGGACUGGAGAGGAGACUGGAAUUCACGGUGUAGCAGUGAAAUGCGUAGAUAUCGUGAGGAAGACCAGUGGCGAAGGCGGGUCUCUGGGCCGAUACUGACGCUGAGGAGCGAAAGCGUGGGGAGCGAACAGG
rnacentral:rRNA from 1 species